rnacentral:lncRNA from 1 species
CCAUCGCCUCCUUACCUCUCCACUUUCCUCUCAAGUCCUCUCCAUCCUCAGCCUCCUCCAUGUUGCCUCCUCACAUCCUUCUCACCUCUUAGAUUUUCUCUUGCCUCCUCUCCACCUCUCUGCUGCCCCCUAGGAGUAUAAAUAGGUAAGGUCAGAUCGGAUCCUAAGUGAUCUUGAUCCGAUCUAAUUUUUUGAUUGAAUUUUGAUAUUUGAUCCAGACCCAAUUUAAUAGAAGAUUGGAUUGGAUUGGAUCAAGUCCAUGAUCAAGUUUUUUGACCCAAUCAAUCAUUCGAGUUAGGUCAGAUCCAUGUAUAAUCUGGCUCCAAUCCAUAAAAUGU